GGCAAGGUGGCCGAGCGGUCUAAGGCGCCAGAUUAAGGUUCUGGUCCUCCUUGAGGGCGUGGGUUCGAAUCCCACCCUUGUCA
rnacentral:tRNA from 17 species